UACGUAGGGUGCAAGCGUUGUCCGGAAUUAUUGGGCGUAAAGAGCUCGUAGGCGGUUUGUCGCGUCUGCUGUGAAAACUCGGGGCUCAACUCCGGGCCUGCAGUGGGUACGGGCAGACUAGAGUGCGGUAGGGGAGACUGGAAUUCCUGGUGUAGCGGUGAAAUGCGCAGAUAUCAGGAGGAACACCGGUGGCGAAGGCGGGUCUCUGGGCCGAUUCUGACACUGAGGAGCGAAAGCGUGGGGAGCGAACAGG
rnacentral:rRNA from 1 species